GCCGGGCGUGGUGGCACACACCUGUAAUCCCAGUUACUCAGGAGGCUGAGGCAGGAGAAUUGCUUGAGCCCGGGAGGCAGAGACUGCAGUGAGCCGAGAUCGUGCCACUGCACUCCAGCCUGGGCGACAGAGCGAGACUCUGUCUCAA
rnacentral:SRP_RNA from 2 species